UAGCCUAGUGGUAAGGCUUUGGAUCGCCAAUCCGGUCCGGAGACGGCGGGUUCGAUUCCCGC
rnacentral:tRNA from 1 species